rnacentral:rRNA from 1 species
CCCGCUCCCUAUGGGAGGUCCAGCCUGCCCAGUGGGCUUACUAAACGGCCGCGGUACCCUAACCGUGCUAAGGUAGCGCAAUCACUUGUCCUCUAAAUAAGGACUAGUAUGAACGGCAUCACGAGGGUUAUCCUGUCUCCCCCCUUUAAUCAGUGAAACUGACCCCCCCGUGAAGAGGCGGGGAUAAAUAUAUAAGACGAGAAGACCCCACGGAGCUUUAAAUACACACCACCUAUCCUUCCUACACCCAUAAAAACGGAUAACCCUUGGCCACUGUUUUAGGUUGGGGCGACCACGGAGUAAAGCUUAACCUCCGAGACGAAUAUUUAAUUCAAGAGCAACAACUCAAAAAAUCAAAACUGACGUAAUUGACCCAAACUCAUUUGAUCAACGAAC